GGUUGCGAUCAUACCAGCACUAAUGCACCGGAUCCCAUCAGAACUCCGUAGUUAAGCGUGCUUGGGCGAGAGUAGUACUAGGAUGGGUGACCCCCUGGGAAGUCCUCGUGUUUCAACCC
rnacentral:rRNA from 1 species